GGAGCAGUUGGUAGCUCAGUGGUAGAGUGCAUGCUUAGUGUGUACGACGUUCUGGGUUUAAAUUCCAGCUGCUCCC